AACGAACGCUGGCGGCAUGCCUAACACAUGCAAGUCGAACGAAGCCUUCGGGCUUAGUGGCGCACGGGUGCGUAACGCGUGGGAAUCUGCCCUUUGGUUCGGAAUAACAGUUGGAAACGACUGCUAAUACCGGAUGAUGACGAAAGUCCAAAGAUUUAUCGCCAGAGGAUGAGCCCGCGUAGGAUUAGCUAGUUGGUGUGUAAAGGCGCACCAAGGCGACGAUCCUUAGCUGGUCUGAGAGGAUGAUCAGCCACACUGGGACUGAGACACGGCCCAGACUCCUACGGGAGGGAGCAGUGGGGAAUAUUGGACAAUGGGCGAAAGCCUGAUCCAGCAAUGCCGCUUGAGUGAUGAAGGCCCUAGGGUUGUAAAGCUCUUUUACCCGGGAUGAUAAUGACAGUACCGGGAGAAUAAGCCCCGGCUAACUCCGUGCCAGCCGCCGCGGUAA
rnacentral:rRNA from 1 species